GACGAACGCUGGCGGCGUGCUUAACACAUGCAAGUCGAACGGAAAGGCCCUGUUUGUGUGGUGUUCUCGAGUGGCGAACGGGUGAGUAACACGUGAGUAACCUGCCCUUGUCUUGGGGAUAACUUGAGGAAACUGGGGCUAAUACCGGAUAGGAGCUCCUGCUGCAGGGUGGGGGUUGGAAAGUUUGGGCGGUUGGGGAUGGACUCGGGGCUUAUCAGCUUGUUGGGGGGGUAGUGGCUUACCAAGGCUUUGAGGGGUAGCCGGCCUGAGAGGGUGACCGGCACAAUUGGGACGGGGAACCGGCCAGACCUCCACGGGGGGGAAGAAGUGGGGAUAUUUCAACAAGGGGCGGAGCCCUAAUGCAGCAACGCGUGUGGCGGGAGGACGGCCUUGGGUUUUAAACCCGCUUCCCUCUGUACCGAGGCGUGAGUGACGGUAGUGGGUAAAGAAGCACCGGCUAACUACGUG
rnacentral:rRNA from 1 species